AACAGGAUUAGAUACCCUGGUAGUCCAUGCCGUAAACGAUGUCUACUAGCCGUUGGGGCCCUUGAGGCUUUAGUGGCGCAGCUAACGCGAUAAGUAGACCGCCUGGGGAGUACGGUCGCAAGACUAAAACUCAAAUGAAUUGACGGGGGCCCGCACAAGCGGUGGAGCAUGUGGUUUAAUUCGAUGCAACGCGAAGAACCUUACCUGGCCUUGACAUACAGAGAACUUUCCAGAGAUGGAUUGGUGCCUUCGGGAACUCUGAUACAGGUGCUGCAUGGCUGUCGUCAGCUCGUGUCGUGAGAUGUUGGGUUAAGUCCCGCAACGAGCGCAACCCUUUUCCUUAUUUGCCAGCACUUCGGGUGGGAACUUUAAGGAUACUGCCAGUGACAAACUGGAGGAAGGCGGGGACGACGUCAAGUCAUCAUGGCCCUUACGGCCAGGGCUACACACGUGCUACAAUGGUCGGUACAAAGGGUUGCUACUGCGCGAGCAGAUGCUAAUCUCAAAAAGCCGAUCGUAGUCCGGAUCGCAGUCUGCAACUCGACUGCGUGAAGUCGGAAUCGCUAGUAAUCGCGGAUCAGAAUGCCGCGGUGAAUACGUUCCCGGGCCUUGUACACACCGCCCGUCACACCAUGGGAGUUUGUUGCACCAGAAGUAGGUAGUCUAACCUUAGGGAGGACGCUUACCACGGUGUGGCCGAUGACUGGGGUGAAGUCGUAACAAGGUAACC
rnacentral:rRNA from 1 species